GUCCACUUCUAGGUGGGAGUCAUGGCCGAGGUGAUGUUUCCUCAAAGUGGGAGCUGCUGUCACAGCAGCUGUCCUGCAAGAUACCCUGUGUCCAUGAACCUGGCAAGCUACCUUGUUAGCCGCAGAGGGGGCAGCUCAGACCUUCCCAGUUCCUGACAGCCAUCUCUCCCCAGUGGUUCCACUUUGUAUGCCGGCCCCAGCACUUGGCACAGAGGUGUCUACCAUCCAUCAGUAUUUCAGCAAUCUCAGGAUGCCAGAGCUAGAGGAGACCUGAGAGAGGAUUUCUUCAGUGGCUGCCAGAUUGUUCCAUGGAACCUGUGCCAGAGAUGAGGACGUGGAUACUGAGAAGGAGGCUUGCCCGUGCUGAUACACCUAAUGAGGAGUGGAGCAGAUUUGAACCCAAGUCUUUACACCUUAAUUAUCUGAGCAGAUUUGAAGCCUCAUAUGCCUCCCUUCUAGGAGCUGGGAAUUUCUGGUUCUUGGCCCUUGAUGGGAUGCGAGUCUGACAGACAUUCUCUGAUCCCAGGUUUGGGUGCUGGGUUUUCUGCUUCCAGAAUGAAGAACUUUGAUUUGCAUCAAGAUCCAGGCCCUUCUGGUGUCUGCUGAAUGAAAAACAAGGGAUAUUUAAUAAAUAAUGAAUGGUUUUAAAUGUGA